GGAGAGUAACAAGGCCGAAGUGUUGAUCUUGUUGCGCCGGCCCGCUCGAUACGCCGAGGCCGUCACUUUCUUUCUUGUUAAUGUUCAAGCGGAAGGGGAGAAAUUUCAUGGCGAUCUUAUUCUCCGCAAAGCCCUCUUCGAUCUCACCGUGUUGCCACUCGAUGCGAUGCUGCGGUGCGCGGGCGCUCUUAGUUCGGAACAAAGGGUGCAAGUUCUCCGGGAAAUUUCGUCCUCUUUGAGCGAAUCCCCAUCACGACAUUCUGCGUCGCAAGUUAGCUCGGGUCAAGUCAAGUUCAAUUCAUGAUUUACAGAAGUGUAGAAGCAAUCUUGAAUCCUUGUUCUGCUAUGACAAGUCUUAUCCAGAGGAGAAUAUAGAGAUGCCUGUUGGUUUGACGAUGGAUAAGAAGGAAAUAGGUAAUCACCCACCUUGCACUGAUUGUGAAGUGAAAGGCGCAGUGUUAUGUGCUACAUGUGAAGGUUCUAGUUUAUAUGUCGACUCAAUCCUAGAGAGCCAAGGAAUCAUUGUGAAAGCUAGGUGCCUGGCUUGUGGAGGUGUUGGCAACAUCAUGUGCUCCAGAUGUGGAGGGUGGGGACACACUGGAUUGUAAGACCAACUCCAACGCAUACUCUUUUACAUCAUUUUAAUGUAAAAAGAAUCCCAAAUAUUCUCCAACGGAACACUAAAAUGUGUACUAUUUUGGUGUAAGUGAACAGUGCAACACCAAGAUGCUGCUGCACUGUUCACUUGCACCAAAAUGGUGCAAGUGCCUUUUUUUUUUUUUAAAAAUAUAAUAUAUUAUAAUAUUAAAUUUAUAUUUAAAAUAUUCUUAAAUAUUAUAAAUUAAUAUAAUAAAAAUUAGUUAUUAUGUAUCAUAAAAUUAUUAAUUUUAAUAGUAAUUAUUAUCGUAAUUAAAAUAUUUAAUAAAUUAAUAUGUAUGUUGAAUAAUAAAUUAUAAGAUGCAAAAAUAGAAUAUUUUAAGGAAUAUUUCUUUUAGGGUAGGAAAUGAUGUGUAUUGAUUGAAGUUGAAAAAUUAUUUGAUGCUGAAGUGACAUCAAAUUGGUGUUGAAGUGGCACCAAAAUGAGUUUUGUGGUUGGAGAUGGUCUAAGUUCCUUGUUAUCGUCGAAACAUUUUCGAACAAAAUGCUGUCAAGUCUAUUCGGGUAGCUCCGUAGAAGUUUAUUCUGAAAACGUGGAUUGCAAAGUCUAUUAGAGUGGAAUGUAUAAAAGAAUCAGA